CCUCAAGUGUCAAAUAGGGAUAAUGACAAUAUCUGCCCCUACCUCACCAGGUUGUCGUGGGGAGUGAACAAGGUGAGUGGCCCUCACCUACAGACUCAACAUAUGGCCUUUGGCUCUUCCCACUUCCAAGAGUCUUGGAAGGGAUGGGUCGAGCAAGCAGAGGAAAGGAAGAUGUGAGUUCCCAAAAUGCUCCUCACCUUUUUCUUCUGAGUGGGCUCCUUCUCACUGGCAUUGGAGGGCUUGCGGCGCAGCAUGGUCCUCCACCCUGGGAGACUCCGUCCCUGCUCUCCUAGGUGUCAAGAUGCAGAGGCCUCUUGCUUAGCCUCACCAGAACUGCCCGGGGGCACGGCAUGAACCGAGCCUUCAGCUGCCACUCUGACUGCUGCAGUGGCAGCUUGGGGGUGCGGGCCAUGGACACCCGGCAGCAGCAGCAUACAGGAAGCCCUGCCACGUGACCUACUCUUACAGCAAUCGCAGCCCCUGCCGGCCCCUAGGGAGGAAGGAAGUCCAAGCUUCAGUCUCCAGAGAUUCUGAUGCAGACGGCUCUUGGGUUGAACAGUCAGAGAAAGUCCCUACCUUGUUGUCUCAUGUCGAUCAUCAUCAGUCCUUCUGCUCCAUCUUCCUAGAGGUGGACAAUCAGCUCGACAUUAUAUGGCGUACCCAAGCCCUUUAUCUCACUGACCAGAAUCCAGAAACCAGAAGUUGGACCAUCUGGCUGCCUGUUGGAUCAAUGCUCCCGGUCAACUCACGUCUUCAAGGUCGUCACUGCCAUCACUACCACUACCAUCACCCCUGUGACCAUCACCACUGCUACCAUCACUCCUAUCAAUAGCCAUCACCAUACAGCCAUCACCCCUACAGCCAUCAGGCCUGCAGCCAUCCCCGCUGCCAUCAGCACACCUAUAGCCAUUGUCACUAUGGUAAUCACCUCUACAGUUGACAUCCUUCAGCCAUCACCUCUACAGUCAUCACCAUUGCUGCUAUCACCCUUCCAGCCAUCAUCCUUACAGCUGUCACCCUUCUGGACAUUACAGCCAACCGCACUCAUGACCCUCUCACCCCUAUAACCAUCGUCCCUACAGUCAUCUCUCCUACAACCAUCAUCACAUCCGUGCAGCCAUCAGCCCUGCAGCCAUCACUCCUACAGCCAUCAGUACACCUAAAGCCAUCAUCACUAGAGCAGUCACCCCUCCAGUCAGUACCCCUCAGCCAUCAUGAGUAUAUUUAUCACCACCACAGCUGAAAAGCACUUACAGCCAACUCCACACCUCUAGCAAGUAUCCAACAGGCAUUUAUCAAACACCUAUGCAGUAUAUUCAAUUUGUGGGUUGUCUGUGGCAGAUUUUAAUAACUUUAAUAACUUCUUGGUAUUACAAAAGCAACUUGUAUUUGUCAUACAAUUUCACAAACACAUAAACAAAAAAAAUUUCAAAAUUUCCCAUCAUUGUCCUCUACACUGUUUUAAGCAUCUAUCUACUCUCUGUCUAUAAACAUUUUUUUUCUUUUUACAAAAAUCAUACUGCUCAGAAAACAGAUAAUUGGUUUGGGGAGAAGGGGAGGGGAGAGAAGGGAAGGGAGACAUCACACAGGGUAACAGGAAGCUUUUAGGAGUGAUGAAUAUGUUCACUAUCUUGACUGUGGUGAUGAUUUCAUGGGGGAAUACACAUGUCAAAACGUAUCAAAUUGUAUACUUCAAAUAUGUGCAGUUUAUUGUAGCUCCAUUAUACCUCAAUAAAGCUGUUUAAAAUUUUUUAAUUAAAAAAGGUCAUAAUUCACA